GCCGGGUGCAGUGGCAUGUGCCCGGAGUCUCAGCAACUCAAGAGGCUUAGGUGGGAGGAUCGCUUGAGUGCAGGAGUUCUGAGCUGUCGAGUGCUAUGCCGAUGGGGUGUUUGCACUAAGCGAUCAAUAUGGUGCCUUCCCGGGAGCAGGGUGCCACAUGUUGCCUGGGUCAGAAACGGAGCAGGUGAAAACUCCCGUGCUGAUUAGUAGUGAAAUUACACCUAUGAACAGCCACUGCACUCCAACCCGGGUAACACAUUGAGACCCUGUCUCU
rnacentral:SRP_RNA from 1 species